rnacentral:rRNA from 1 species
UACGUAGGGUCCAAGCGUUGUCCGGAUUUAUUGGGCGUAAAGAGCUCGUAGGCGGCUCGGUAAGUCGGAUGUGAAAACUCGGGGCUCAACCCCGAGACGCCAUCCGAUACUGCUGUGGCUUGAGUCUGGUAGGGGAGAACGGAAUUCCUGGUGUAGCGGUGAAAUGCGCAGAUAUCAGGAGGAACACCGGUGGCGAAGGCGGCGUUCUGGACUGCUACUGACACUGAGGAACGAAAGCCAGGGGAGCAAACGGG